CAAAGUGUAGCUUAAAUUAAAGCACCUAGUUUACACCUAGGAGAUAUCUCCCAAAAAGAUCCCUUUGA
rnacentral:tRNA from 1 species